AUUUCUAUAAGCAUUGGUUUUGGGCAAUUUGGAUUUGUAAUGACUUUAUAAGAGCUUCACAAAGUCAAGUUUGUUUGUGGAUGACUUGGGUUUUGUAAAAUAAAAUAGUGUUGAUGUUUUUAGCAAUUUCAAGAAUUUUGUAAUAGAUCUACAAAUAAAAUUUUGUAGAUUAAUGGUUAUAGUUGUAUUUAAUAUUUAUUAUAAAUUUUAGCUUGAUCUAAUGAUUGAAUUGAGGAUUAUUGAGGUUUAAGUGGGUGAAGGUCUUAGAAAGUAGAAUUUUGGAUCUAGUGAGGGUUUUUAAGUUUUUUUGCAAUCUAAUGGUUGAAUUGGAGUAAAAUUUGUGUAUGAAGAAAUUAGACUUGAUUUUCUAUAUAUAUAAGAAUUUUAAAAUCAAUCGAAUGGUGAAGAGGAGAGAUAUUGGCUUUGAGAGAUUGGCAUCAAGGUAGAGAAGGAGGCCUGCUAAUAUCCAAGCACGUUUUUGAGGUUAUUGUCUAUUUGGUAAUUUUGAUCAUUUUCAAAUUUUUUGUGCUUGUUUUCAAUUUAAUUGUUAAAAAGUAUGAAAAUUUUGAAUGAAGGUCAAUGGUUCAUUAAUUAAUAAUUAGGAUUUAAAUCUAUUGUAAGAAUUAGUAGGGUUUGAUUUAGGAUUAGGAUUUGAUUUAGGGUUUAGGAUUUAGAAGCUAGGAUUUAAGAUUUGAUUAGGAUUUGAUUAAGAUUUGGAUUAGGAUUAGAAUUUGAUUAGGAUUUAAGAUUUGAUUAGGUUUUGAUUCAGGGUUUAAGAUUUGAUUAGGAUUUUAUUAAGAUUUGAUUUAGGAUUUAGGAUUUGAUUAGGGUUUGAUUUCAGAUUUAGGAUAUUAUUUGAGUUUAUUUAAGAUUUAAGAUUUAGUUAGUUUUUGGCCUAAAAUUUGAAUGAAGUCCAAAAGAACUUUAAUUAGGAUUAAAUUAAGAUUGAAUUGAGAUGUUUUUGAAAUAUAUUUGUCAUCAUUCUAAUAUUUCUUUAAGAUUUCUUAUUAUUUCUUUGUAAUUCUUUUGAGAUUUCUUUGAAUUUGAUUAAAGCUUGCUUAGCAUAGUUAGUGUUCUAAUAGGCAUAGGAUUUUGUUGUUGCAAUUUCAAUUCUACCUUCUACAGC
rnacentral:lncRNA from 1 species